rnacentral:rRNA from 1 species
UACGGGGGGGGCAAGCGUUGUUCGGAAUUACUGAGCGUAAAGGGCUCGUAGGUGGCCAACUAAGUCAGACGUGAAAUCCCUCGGCUUAACCGGGGAACUGCAUCUGAUACUGGAUGGCUUGAGUUUGGGAGAGGGAUGCGGAAUUCCAGGUGUAGCGGUGAAAUGCGUAGAUAUCUGGAGGAACACCUAUGGCGAAGGCAGCUCGCUGGGACGUUACUGACGCUGAGGCGCGAAAGCGUGGGGAGCGAACAGG